UUUACAGGCCUCCAAGUUAUGAUCUUAGAACAUUUUUAAGAAAUCUGACAAACCUCUUGGAUGGCCUGAAUUCAAUGGACAUUCAGCCCAUUGUCGUGUUAGGAGACUUCAAUGAGGACCUUAUUCCUCCAGGGAAAAAAGCCAUCAGUGAGUUGUUUAGAGCCAAAGGCUUUAUGCAACUCAUCUCUCAUCCAACCACAGAAAAACGUACUCUUCUUGACCACUUGUACAUCUCCAAUCCAGAAUACUGUGUCCAGUCGGGUGUCUUGCAGGCUUACUACAGCUACCACAAUCCCAUAUACUGUGUGUUGGCUUUAGUAUAAGCUGCAUCUACAGUGACUUGCAAAAAUAGUCAUGUUCUUUGAAAUUUUCCAUAUUUCAUCACAUUACAACCACAAAUGUGGAAAUACAGUGGAGAGAGCAAGUAUAUAAUAUACACUGUUGAUUUUUCCAGGUAUAUACUAAGUAAUACACACUUUUCAGUUUAUUUGCAAAAAAAUCAUUCAAUCAUGUAUAUUUUUAAGCCUCCCUAGUAGAGUCUAUUCUGGGGUCCUGGAAAAGAUGGUCCGUAAGACCCUGGAGAAUGCAUAGGAGUUCAUCCAAACAAUCUACAUGUGUUUUGACAGUCUCCCUCUGGGAAGUAUGGUGUCCAUGGUCUUUUGAUAUGGGCUGUAAGGUUUCUUUGUGACCAAUGUCAGAGUCUAGUCUGCAUUGCUAGCAGUAAGUUGGACUCUUUUCUGCUGAGAGUUGGACUCCGCCAAGAAAACGAGCCUGACUCUGCUGGCAAUGAACACCAGACUCUGACAUCGGUCAUAAAGGGACCUAACAACCCCUAUCACAGGGCCUGAUACCCCAUACUCCUGGAGAACCCUAGCAUGGUUCCCAGAGGGACACAGUCAAAUUCCUUCUCCAAGUCCACAAAACACAUGUAGAGAGGUUGGGUGAACUCCCAUGAACCCUCCAGGACUCUGCUGAGGUUAUAGAGCUGGUCCAGUGUUUCAUGACCAUGGUGAAAAAUCACACUGCUCUUCUUGAGUCCAACUUUUGACUAUUUGACAGACCCUCCUCUCCAGGACCCCCAAAUAGACCUUGCCAGGGAGGCAUUACUCCCCACAAAUAUAUUUGUGAUUGUAAUGUGACAAUAUGGAACAGUUCAAGGGGUAUGAUUACUUUGUAAGCACUGUACAUCUUAAUCCCGAAUUCAUGACAGGAAAUUCUUGUUGGAGAAAAUGUUAACAUCUCAUGUCAUUCUUAAUAUCACUUUAUCUAACUGCGGUCUCUUUCAUACAUGCAGCAAUCAGAAAGCAGUGUGGAUUAUAUUUCUUUAUCAUUGUUACAGAGGGUUUGAUAUGUAUUUAAUCAUUGUACACAAUUUUGAAUCAUGGUGUAGCUUAUGGAUUUUGUUGUAGGCAUAAAAAUAUUUUUGUACAGUUUGUGAAUCAUUUCGAUACUUAUUUAGCUCCGUAGAAAGGAGAAUUUAUAAUCAGGUUUUGUAUGUAUACAUGAAGAUUUGAGCUUUGAGAAUACGAAAGUGGCUGAUCUUGAAACACUUAUCGGUUCUCUGUAAGAGUAGUUGCUGGAAAUAAUUGGACCAGGAAGCAGCAGAUAAAACAAUCAGUUACUACACGUAUAUUCUUUUCAAUUUUAAAUCAAAAUUAAUUCAAAUAGAUAUUCAAUCUGGCCCAGAGCAUUUUCCUUAUUUUUCUAAUCCGGUUACAGUAACUGUUAUCCUUCGAAUGAAUCAAAUUGUUUUGCGAAACUCGUUCUUUAUUUUGUAGCAUUCAAUUAAAGCUCUCCUUGUUUUAUCUCUCCCCAAUCAACACUGUAGUUUUUACUGCUGCAGCCCCCUAUUGGUUACUUCACUACAAAGACAAAAGUUCAACUCACUUUUGUCCUGUUGACUCCCUCCACAUAGUCAGAAUUUGUCUUGUUUUGGUGGAAUUAACCCUUUUUUCUUCCAGUUUGAGUCUGUUUUUGCAGGUUAUUUUGCAGGUUGUUCCACACAGAAGCUAUCCUUGGAGGCUGCCAAGAAGAGAGAGAGGAAACGAGAACUGGAAGUUCAGCCUAUGAAAGUCCAGAACACUCUGGCCUACCUCAUGGACUUGGACCCACACCCAAUGUGGAGAAGAUGGAGUUCUUGUUUCUUUAGAAAAUUUGAGAUGUGUCGCACCACAUUGGAUGCCGAAGAAGUUGGCCAAAGACCUUUGAAGAAGCAAUUCUUUUUUGUCAUUGUUUAUAAUUGUAAAUAGUUUUUCUUGUAUGUAUGUAUAUAUUUAAAAUACUUUUAUUUAUACUAUAGAGACUGUAAUAUGUCAUGUUAGAUUAUAGUUUCAGUUCCUGUAUGUGUAUAUAGUUAUAGUUCCUGUAUGUGUAUAGUUAUAUAAGUUUUAUAUUUAUAACAAGUGAAACAUCAUGGCAAAGCCAUGAUGUUUCACUUGUGAGAGUAAAUCUGUCGGGCCUCACCUUGACACUCAGGCAACAACCCUGAGUGCCACAUGGCCAGACAGGACACAUGUAAAAUAAAAAACAGCAAAAUUUUUUAUUUUAUUUAUAUUCUUUAAAUGUUGUAAUUUUAGUUCAUU